GAUGAACGCUGGCGGCGUGCCUAAUACAUGCAAGUCGAGCGAACAGACGAGGAGCUUGCUCCUCUGACGUUAGCGGCGGACGGGUGAGUAAAACGUGGAUAACCUACCUAUAAGACUGGGAUAACUUCGGGAAACCGGAGCUAAUACCGGAUAAUAUAUUGAACCGCAUGGUUCAAUAGUGAAAGACGGUUUUGCUGUCACUUAUAGAUGGGUCCGCGCCGCAUUAGCUAGUUGGUAAGGUAACGGCUUACCAAGGCAACGAUGCGUAGCCGACCUGAGAGGGUGAUCGGCCACACUGGAACUGAGACACGGUCCAGACUCCUACGGGAGGCAGCAGUAGGGAAUCUUCCGCAAUGGGCGAAAGCUUGACGGAGCAACGCCGCGUGAGUGAUGAAGGUCUUCGGAUCGUAAAACUCUGUUAUUAGGGAAGAACAAAUGUGUAAGUAACUAUGCACGUCUUGACGGUACCUAAUCAGAAAGCCACGGCUAACUACGUG
rnacentral:rRNA from 1 species